UCCUCCGUGGCGCAAUUGGCUAGCGCGUUCGACUGUUAUUCCCACUUCUGUAGUUUCGGCGAUCGAGAGGUUGGUGGUUCAAGCCCACCCGGAGGAG